UUGACCUCGGAUCAGGUAGGAAUACCCGCUGAACUUAAGCAUAUCAAUAAGCGGAGGAAAAGAAACCAACAGGGAUUGCCUCAGUAACGGCGAGUGAAGCGGCAACAGCUCAAAUUUGAAAUCUGGCCUCUUUGGGGUCCGAGUUGUAAUUUGUAGAGGAUGUUUCGGGUACCGCCUCGGUCUAAAUUUCUUGGAACAGAAUGUCAAAGAGGGUGAGAAUCCCGUCUUGGAUCGGCGGUAGGGCCCAUGUGAAACUCCUUCGACGAGUCGAGUUGUUUGGGAAUGCAGCUCAAAAUGGGUGGUAUAUUUCAUCUAAAGCUAAAUAUUGGCCAGAGACCGAUAGCGCACAAGUAGAGUGAUCGAAAGAUGAAAAGCACUUUGAAAAGAGAGUUAAACAGUAUGUGAAAUUGUUGAAAGGGAAGCGCUUGCAACCAGACUUGAGCGCGGCGGUUCCCCCAUCCUUUUGGCUGGGUUACUCCGCCGCGUCCAGGCCAACAUCGGUUCUGGGGGUCGGUCAAAGACUCUGGGAAUGUAUCUACCCUCCGGGCGUAGACUUAUAGCCCAGGGUGUCAUGCGGCCUCCCGGGACCGAGGAACGCGCUUCGGCUCGGAUGUUGGCGUAAUGGUUGUCAGCGACCCGUCUUGAAACACGGACCAAGGAGUCUAACAUCUAUGCGAGUGUUUGGGUGUCAAACCCGGAACGCGAAAUGAAAGUGAACGGAGGUAGGAAGCUUCGGCUGCACUAUCGACCGAUCCUGAUGUCUUCGGAUGGAUUUGAGUAAGAGCAUAGCUGUUGGGACCCGAAAGAUGGUGAACUAUGCCUGAAUAGGGUGAAGCCAGAGGAAACUCUGGUGGAGGCUCGCAGCGGUUCUGACGUGCAAAUCGAUCGUCAAAUUUGGGUAUAGGGGCGAAAGACUAAUCGGAACCAUCUGGUAGCUGGUUCCUGCCGAAGUUUCCCUCAGGAUAGCAGUAACGUUUUCAGUUUUAUGAGGUAAAGCGAAUGAUUAGAGGCCUUGGGGUUGAAACAACCUUAACCUAUUCUCAAACUUUAAAUAUGUAAGAAGUCCUUGUUGCUUAAUUGAACGUGGACAUUUGAAUGUAUCGUUACUAGUGGGCCAUUUUUGGUAAGCAGAACUGGCGAUGCGGGAUGAACCGAACGUGAGGUUAAGGUGCCGGAAUAUACGCUCAUCAGACACCACAAAAGGUGUCAAUGCAUCCAGACAGCCGGACGGUGGCCAUGGAAGUCGGAAUCCGCUUAGGAGUGUGUAACAACUCACCGGCCGAAUGCAUUGGCCCUGAAAAUGGAUGGCGCUUAAGCGUAUUACCUAUACCUCGCCGUCAGGGUUGACAUGAUGCCCUGACGAGUAGGCAGGCGUGGAGGUCCGUGACGAAGCCUUGGGGGUGACCCCGGGUCGAACGACCUCUAGUGCAGAUCUG
rnacentral:rRNA from 1 species